rnacentral:rRNA from 1 species
ACAACCCGGGGAAACCCGGGCUAAUACCGCAUACGUCCUACGGGAGAAAGCGGGCCUCUACACUAUGCUCGCACUCGAGGAUGAGCCCACGUCCGAUUAGCUAGUUGGUAGGGUAACGGCCUACCAAGGCCACGAUCGGUAGCUGGUCUGAGAGGAUGAUCAGCCACACUGGGACUGAGACACGGCCCAGACUCCUACGGGAGGCAGCAGGUGGGAAUAUUGGACAAUGGGCGCAAGCCUGAUCCAGCAAUGCCGCGUGUGUGAAGAAGGCCUGGCGGGUUAGUAAAGCACUUUCAGUGGGGAAGAACGGAUACGGGCCAAUACCCCGCAUCACUGACGUUACCCACAGAAGAAGCACCGGCUAACUCCGUG